UACGGAGGGGACUAGCGUUGUUCGGAAUUACUGGGCGUAAAGCGCGCGUAGGCGGACCUGCAAGUCGGGGGUGAAAGCCCGGGGCUCAACCUCGGAACUGCCUUCGAUACUGCGGGUCUCGAGUCCGGGAGAGGUGAGCGGAAUUCCUAGUGUAGAGGUGAAAUUCGUAGAUAUUAGGAAGAACACCAGUGGCGAAGGCGGCUCACUGGCCCGGUACUGACGCUGAGGAGCGAAAGCGUGGGGAGCAAACAGG
rnacentral:rRNA from 1 species